AAGCAUGAGCUGUGAUGGGGAAGGAAAUUAAGUACGGAAGUUCCUGAUUUCACGCUGUCAAGAAAAGCCUCUAGGAAGAGUAGUACUGCCCGUACCGCAAACCGACACAGGUAGAUGAGGAGAGAAUCCUAAGGUGAGCGAGAGAACUCUCGUUAAGGAACUCGGCAAAAUGACCCCGUAACUUCGGGAGAAGGGGUGCUCUAUUAGGGUGCAAGCCCGAGAGAGCCGCAGUGAAUAGGCCCAGGCGACUGUUUAGCAAAAACACAGGUCUCUGCAAAACCGUAAGGUGACGUAUAGGGGCUGACGCCUGCCCGGUGCUGGAAGGUUAAGAGGAGUGCUUAGCUUCGGCGAAGGUACGAAUUGAAGCCCCAGUAAACGGCGGCCGUAACUAUAACGGUCCUAAGGUAGCGAAAUUCCUUGUCGGGUAAGUUCCGACCCGCACGAAAGGCGCAACGAUCUGGGCACUGUCUCAACGAGAGACUCGGUGAAAUUAUAGUACCUGUGAAGAUGCAGGUUACCCGCGACAGGACGGAAAG
rnacentral:rRNA from 1 species